CUGGGCGACGCGAGCGGAACGGGGAGGGGCGUCUCCACCACCGUGGAAAAGGUUUUCAAAGCGUUGGUCCAUGCCCUGGUGGGCCUAGUGCAAAGAUGGCUUCAGAAAUCCAUAUUAAGGAGGAACCAACCGAUGGUAUUGUAGAAAAACAUUAGAAAAUCAGUUGCAUUUUGAAUCUUUCCUUUCUUACGGCCUAAAACUAUCUGCAGGUGAACAUGUUUUCUCAGAAAGUGACAUGCAUAAAAUUUCUCGUGAAUCUCUGUAAACCAAAGACUCUGGUGGUACAUCUCAGCCUCCCUACUUUUUACCAAGCAAGAGUGGCCUAUCUAAAUCCCAAAAGAAGGUUGUUGAGGAGAGAGUGCGAGCCAUCCAAUCCGAAGUUCCCAUUUAUGUAGCAAUCAUGAGGGAGAGUAGCUUUGCUGUACCUUCACGUUCGAUGCUAGAAUUAGGUUCGCGAUAUGCUACUGCUGUGCAUCUUCCAGCUAGAGGGCAAACCGCGGUGCUCCAGUGCAUGAGGAAGAUAUGGAAGACCAAAAUGGUGUCUCAGAGGGGCCGCAGAUGGUAUCUAACUGUAGGUUGGUCAAAAUUCGUCCGUGGCAAUGGUCUGCAAGUCGGCGAUAUCUGCCUCUUCGAACCGAAGGACAAGACGAAGCUUACCAUGAAGGUCCAUAUCAUCUCCAGGGAGGAGCUUUAGUUCGUGGCAGUAAGCUGCUUAAAAAAAAAGAACAAAUAAUGCCGCUUCAAAAGUUCGUAGCUAUGAUGACCCUUGUUGUUCUGCUGGUGCCUUGCGGGUUAUUUUUCUGUUUCGUACUUUGAAAUAAUCCUUGGCUGUGGCCAGUUUAUCUGUGCAACACUUGAUGCAGUCAUGCAGUCUAUCACUAACCAUCCUGAAUGGCCUAGUAAUAAGUUUUACACGAUGCGACAUCUUUUGCGAGUUA